rnacentral:rRNA from 1 species
UACAGAGGGUGCGAGCGUUAAUCGGAAUUACUGGGCGUAAAGCGCACGUAGGUGGCGACGUAAGUCGGGUGUGAAAGCCCCGGGCUCAACCUGGGAAUUGCAUUCGAGACUGCAUUGCUGGAGUACGGAAGAGGAGGGCGGAAUUCCCGGUGUAGCGGUGAAAUGCGUAGAUAUCGGGAGGAACAUCAGUGGCGAAGGCGGCCCUCUGGUCCAGUACUGACACUCAAGUGCGAAAGCGUGGGGAUCAAACAGG